rnacentral:rRNA from 1 species
AUUGAACGCUGGCGGCAGGCCUAACACAUGCAAGUCGAGCGGAGCGGCGGACGGGUGAGUAAUGCCUAGGAAUCUGCCUGGUAGUGGGGGAUCACGUCCGUCUACGUGCGCUUUUUCCGCCUCCUAUCUGAUGCGCCUAGGUCGGAUUCGCUCGUUGGUGGGGUAAAGGCCUACCAAGGCGACGAUCCGUAACUGGACUGAGAGGUUGAUCAGUCACACUGGAACUGCGACACGGUCCAGACUCCUACGGGAGGCAGCAGUGGGGAAUAUUGGACAAUGGGCGAAAGCCUGAUCCAGCCAUGCCGCGUGUGUGAAGAAGGUCUUCGGAUUGUAAAGCACUUUAAGUUGGGAGGCGGUAAGAAAAGAAUAAGCAACGGCUAACUUCGUGCCAGCAGCCGCGGUAAGAG